UACGUAGGGUGCAAGCGUUGUCCGGAAUUAUUGGGCGUAAAGAGCUUGUAGGCGGUCUGUCGCGUCGGCUGUGAAAACCCGGAGCUCAACUCCGGGCCUGCAGUCGAUACGGGCAGACUGGAGUUCGGCAGGGGAGACUGGAAUUCCUGGUGUAGCGGUGAAAUGCGCAGAUAUCAGGAGGAACACCGGUGGCGAAGGCGGGUCUCUGGGCCGAUACUGACGCUGAGGAGCGAAAGCGUGGGGAGCAAACAGG
rnacentral:rRNA from 1 species